ensembl:lncRNA
CAGAUUAUGACAGGUUAGGAAAGGUUUUAAGACAGUAUGCUGGGUUACGACAGAUUAUGACAGGUUAGGAAAGGUUUUAUGACAGUUUGCUGGGUUAUGACAUAUUUAGACAGGUUAGGAAAGGUUUUAAGACAAUUAUGACAGGUUAGGACAGGUUUUAUGACGGUAUGCUGGGUUAUGACAGAUUAUGACAGGUUAGGACAGGUUUUAUGACAGCAUGCUAGGUUAUGACAUGUUACGCAAGGUUUUAGUAUGCCAAGUCAUAACAAGUUAGGCAGGGUUUAUGAUGUCAUUUUAUCCUCAGUUAUGACAGUUUAGGCAAGGUUCAAUGACAUAGUAUGUUGGUUAUGAAGCAUUAUGACAUGUUAGAUGAUGUUUAUGACAUUAUACAGUAUGCCAGGUUAUUCUAGAUUAGGCAAGAUUUAUGACACAGUAUGACUGUUUAGACAAGGUACAAUACAUAGAUUAUGAUAGAUCGAUAAUGAUUUAUGCCCGUUUCCUUCUAGUUUAUUUCAGUCAUGACACAUUAGCAUUCAGUUGCUAGUCCACACAGGAAUCUGCCACAACUGACUUAACCUUUUGCUUCCCGAAAUCACGAGUCCUGCUCUUUGAAUACAGAUCAGUACGUCAACUCGAAUCACAAAAUCAGAAUCAAAGAAUCAGACAAAAGCAACCCAUGGAACCCACUUGAACUCAACGCUAAGGUGUUUUCUAACAGCAAGACCGAGAUUUGAAUUCAGGAUGAACAAAAACUGCACCAUCACUCUCCUCUCACCCCGUGAUCAACAUUCGAAACAUGAAAAAGGAUCCGAGUCGCUCUAAUCUCCGUCCGCGCCAGAAAUAAAGCCGACAAAAAUGCAAACCGAGACUCGUUCUGCGAUCUAAAUUGAGCAUUAUAUAACCACAGAGCUAAACG